AGGCUCCAAAAGCUUGUUACUUGCUUGUAGUCAAACAGAAGGCAGAGCUGCGAAUCAAAUCCAGGUUUGUCUCGACAUGCCACUAGCUCAUAUUUCUCUUGGAUCAGCCAUAAAUGGCUUUCACUCCAGUGAGCAGCGAACAGCACCAGAAUUAUAGAACAUUUAUCAACAGCCUAAAAUAUAGAUAACACUAGGAGAAUUUGGUUGCUUAUAUAGAUUCAAGAUACAAUCCUGCUGGAUUCUGGGAUUACAGGACUGUAAACAAAAGAGAAAUCAUCAUGGACUGUUCACUGGGCAAAAUUUCAUGGAGACCUUUGGGGGUUCAUGGAUGUUCUAUAAUAAAAGAAAUAUCAAUGUGCAUGCACAGAAGUACAACCUUGUGAAGAGGUAGCAAGAGAGCAGCAAUCUACAAGCCAAGGAAAGAGGCCACAGAGGAAACCAACCCUGCCAGCAUCUUGAUCUUGGACUUCCAGCUUCCAGAACUAACCAGGGACCACACUCCCAUGCUGACAGUAUGGGCUGCUGUCUUCAGGACCAUUGCAAGUGUCCUUCACGGUUCGGUUCACAUUUCACAAGCCCAAUGAAGUCUAUCUGGAUUUUCGGUAAUGUUUCCUGUCUCUGAAAUCUUAUGACAUGUAUGUCUGUAUCAGCCAUUUGAUGCUUGAUUAUCUAUUUUUCAGAUGGAUGUCUUGCCUUUUCCUCUACAUACUACAGGAAGAGUGGCCACCCCUGCCAAGGGCCUAGUAUAGUACCCUAUACAUGUAGCUGAUCAGUUGAUUGUUACUGAUCAUAUAUAUCCUGCAUCAUGUUAUAAAAAAUUAACACAGUGCUUGGCACAUAGUUGUACUGAAUGUCAGAGCUGCAGCAUGGUCUGGAGGCUUUCCUCGCUUUCUUCUGCUUCCCCUCCCUUGAUCCUUCACAGGCAUUUUCCUCAAUACAUCUCUUGCCUGGCUAA
rnacentral:lncRNA from 1 species